GACGAACGCUGGCGGCGUGCUUAACACAUGCAAGUCGAACGGAAAGGCCCUGCUUGCGGGGUACUCGAGUGGCGAACGGGUGAGUAACACGUGGGUGAUCUGCCCUGCACUUCGGGAUAAGCCUGGGAAACUGGGUCUAAUACCGGAUAGGAGCCAUUUUUAGUGUGAUGGUUGGAAAGUUUUUUCGUUGUAGGAUGAGCUCGCGGCCUAUCAGCUUGUUGGUGGGGUAAUGGCCUACCAAGGCGGCGACGGGUAGCCGGCCUGAGAGGGUGGACGGCCACAUUGGGACUGAGAUACGGCCCAGACUCCUACGGGAGGCAGCAGUGGGGAAUAUUGCACAAUGGGCGCAAGCCUGAUGCAGCGACGCCGCGUGGGGGAUGACGGCCUUCGGGUUGUAAACUCCUUUCGCUAGGGACGAAGCUUUUUGUGACGGUACCUGGAUAAGAAGCACCGGCUAACUACGUG
rnacentral:rRNA from 1 species